rnacentral:rRNA from 1 species
AACGAACGCUGGCGGCGUGGAUUAGGCAUGCAAGUCGAGCGAGAAAGGGUAGCAAUAUCCGAGUAAAGCGGCGACCUGGUGAGUAACAGGUGGGUAACGUACCCUAAAGUGGGGGAUAACGCCGGGAAACCGGUGCUAAUACCGCAUAUGGCCCUUUUGACCGAGGUUGAAGGGGUUAAAGGCUUCGGCCGCUAUAGGAUCGGCCCGUCCCCGAUUAGCUAGUUGGUGGGGUAAGUGGCCUACCAAGGCUACGAUCGGUAGCNGGUCUGAGAGGAUGGUCAGCCACACUGGGACUGAGACACGGCCC